AAGGCGACGAUCGGUAGCCGGACUGAGAGGUUGAUCGGCCACAUUGGGACUGAGACACGGCCCAGACUCCUACGGGAGGCAGCAGUGGGGGAUAUUGCACAAUGGGGGAAACCCUGAUGCAGCGACGCCGCGUGUAGGAAGACGGUCCUCUGGAUUGUAAACUACUGUCUUCAGGGACGAUAAUGACGGUACCUGAGGAGGAAGCUCCGGCUAACUAC
rnacentral:rRNA from 1 species